UAGACAUCGUGCUUGCUCUAGUUACAAUGUCACUUUCUUUCAUCUCCAAUGGCGAAGCCGCUGUCAAAUCCAACCCCGCGCCGGUCUCCGGACGGGUCUCCUCAGUCUAUAGCGAAGUCCAGUCCAGUCGUAUCGACCACAAUCUGCCUCUGCCUUCUGUUCUCAGAAGUUCCUUCACAAUCGUCGAUGGACCUCCUAGCUCUGCCGCUGGCAAUCCAG
rnacentral:misc_RNA from 1 species